AACUACUAGAUAUGAGAUAUUCAUGCAGUUGUUUCAUGCUAGGAUGAGUGAGGGCACAUCCAUACAAAACCAUGUGCUUAAAAUGAUUGACUUGAUCACAUGAUUAGGUCAAUUAGAUUUUGUUAUUGAUAGUGAGCUUAGUUAGGAUUUGAUCAUGCAAUCACUUUUUAAUUUCUUCUCUCAGUUUAUAAAUAAUUUCAUAUGAACAAAUUGAACACUAGUUUGCCAGAGCUACUCAAUAAGUUA
rnacentral:lncRNA from 1 species